ensembl:snoRNA
GCAUGUUAUGAUGAUGGGCAAAAUGUUCAACUACUCUGAAUUGACCGAAUGAAACUAGUCUUUCUGAGCAUCC